rnacentral:lncRNA from 1 species
UCUGGAGUUCGUUGCUGGCACCUGCGUGGUGUCAUGAGAACGUGGCGGGGCGAUUCACACUACAAGGAAUACUAAAGGACGUUCUCCACAUUGAAGGAAAAUGAUCUAAAGAGAAACAGAUCUGUAAGAAGAAAUGAAGAGCACUGGUAAAGCCUAGCUUCACCUUCUGCAAUGUGUGGAAACAGACUGAGGUCCUCACCAGAAGCAAAUGCUAGCACCAUGCUUCUUGGAGACCCUGCAGAACUGUCCAGCAUAGCAAGUGGGUGGUGAGAUGCCGGCAGUGGAAUUCUAGAAGCAGUGCCUCCCAGAACAGCACUACAGUACUGAGGAAGGACUAUGCACCUGGGAAGCUGUCACACACACAAAAUCAUUUCAUGAAAACUUUCUUUGGGUAAAGGAAGGGUUCCACUGCGUAGUAUUUGAUUUGAGAAGGGCUGCAUGGUGCAUGAGGUUAAGAAAGAAAUGACUAUAUUUGCCUUUAAACACUUCAGCUGAUUCCAAGCACCCAACUUCAGAGGCUCAGUGAGAAGAAAGCACACUAAUUAAAGAAAGCACAUUAAUUAAAGAUACCACCACCUGCCAAAUAAUAGCAUGUGCUGCAAGGAAUGGGGCUAGGGAGAGUGUUUCACAAAUGCAGAGCACCAGGCCACAAGGUUAAAGUCAUGCACUAAAACAGUCAAUCCCAAGAGGCAGGUGUCUGAGUGGCGCGACUCAGAAGCAAGUACAUAAAAACGGAACACUCCCAACAGGACACCACUCUAGCCCCACUUCUGCCAAAGGAAAGUUUUCACAUCAAGGUGUAACACACAUCUUUGCAAUUCAAGGUUUAUCCCUCCCCUCUCCCCCAAAGAGACAGGAAAUACAAGUUAAGGUCCUCAUAGCAAUGGUUUGUCUCCCACUUGGGAAGGCUGGUUAUUGUCAACAUUUUUAUUUAAGAAAACAGGAUUUAACAUGGCAUUUUUCUUCCCUCUAAGGGCAGCAGCACAUAAAUCAUACAUCAGUCAUCCAGUGAUACAAAGAGGUGGCCAAUUGUGUCUGAAGUAGUCACUUGUAAAGGAUCACAACCCAGGCAGUGUUGCUUUUCUGCAAACAGAAGGAAACAGAAGGCUCCAUGGUCCUUGAAGAUUAUCCAAGUUUUCCACUAGUUGUCAAGAUUUCUGUCCCAACCUCUUAGUCACCAUUUACAGCAAGAAGAGCCAGCAAGUGAAAAACUGUUAAUUUAUUGAUUCAAAGUUGUUUUUUUUCUUUUUAAAAAACAAUCCCCAAUACAUGCAGUUCAGGGUUAAGUAUCACAUUUGUAGCACAUUGUUGAGUCUCAAAACAAAAAUAUGCAUCACCUGUAUAAUCCCAUCACAUCUUUUUCCAGCCUCUACAAUACCUAGUUGGGGGUGUUUUCAUUUAUACAUCCACAUAGCUCAGAAGCAUGUUAUUAACGGUUGAUCUGGCCCGAUGCUUCUCCGCCACCUCCCCUGCCCUGGUCUCCACCUCGGGGUUAUUUUUUUCUAAAGGCAGGAUGUUACUCAGUCUUAAUUUAUUAAGAUCACUGACAAACUUUGGCUUCUUGUGUGCUCAUGUGGUCCCUGCUUUUGCUUUCGGAAGGGUUUAUAUUGAAACGACUGUGACUCUGAUCGGUUAUUAUCCCCUCAUUUUUUGUAGGAAAUAAGUUUGCUUGUUUCUGUGGGUGCUCACACAGUAACACAGGUUCCUAAAGUAACCAUUUAAUCUGAACUGGUAUUAAAGGAA